UCGGUAUGAAACUGUGGAAAUAUAUACCACCAUUACUCCUUCUAUUCGGAACUACUGGAAAUAUUCUCUCAAUUAUAGUAUUACGCAGAAAGAACCUCAAAAGGUCUGUUUGUACCAUAUAUUUCGUUGCUUUAGCGGUUUCCGAUCUUCUGGUACUAUAUACUGGAUUAUUGAGACAAUGGAUGUUUAUGACAUUCGACAUUGAUAUCCGCCACAUUGGAAAUACAUUUUGUAAGAUUCACACAUGGAUUCUGUAUUUUUCGCUGGAUUUUUCAGCAUGGAUUCAAGUGGCAGUCACUAUAGAGAGGUUGUGUGCUGUUUGGUAUCCAGUUUCUGGUAAAUACAAAUGUUCACGACACACUGCCGUUGUGAGUUUGGUAGCUAUAGCAAGCUGUCUUUUAGCAAUAAACAGUCAUAUUGUUUAUGGAAUCGGGGACUAUGUAGAAAUCAUUAACGGCACGGAAUCAAUUACCAAAUGUACUUACAUGUCAAAAAGCUACAAGAAGUUUUUCACAUCAACAUGGCCCUGGAUUUAUUUAAUUGUGUUUUUUCUUUUUCCAUUUUGUAUUUUAUUUACCGGUAAUCUGUUUAUCAUUAUAAAAGUGGUUCAGCAUAAGCGUGCGAUCCAGCGCCGUAUUUCACCAGUAACAACGCCAUCUAGUGUCACGCAGUCUUCGAAACUAGCAUCCAUGAGUAUUACUCUCUUUACUUUGAACUCAGUGUUUCUCGUUUGCAACAUACCAAUAAGUAUAUAUUUGAUACAAUAUGAACAUUUGAGGGAUACAUUAAAAGGAAGAGAUAGCGCAUUUUUCAACAUGAUGUGGGCCAUUGUCAACAUUCUUAUGUAUUCAAACAAUGCUAUUAGCUUUGUGUUAUACAUAUUGAGCGGAACAAAAUUUAGGAAUGAGUUUACUGCAAUGUUGCGUUGUCGAGAAUCCCAAUGAAAACAGUUUAUAUACGUUUUAACAUUUUAACAUUUAAAUGUAGUACGCUUUGUAUUUAUGUGUGGUUUUCUCAUAGCAAAGUGUCUUCUUGGAACUUCAUGUAUUGAUAAAUCAUGUUAACCACGAUGUAUUGUUUGUGAUGAUCUGUGAUGUACAAGUUGUUGUGUUUUGAUCGCUUUGUUAUCCAUUAUCAGUCAUUUAAAAUAUUUAAACGGUAAUUUUCAUUGAUUGAUUUUCACUUGCUUAACACCAAGCGGCAAAUAUUUCAUAUAUAUAUUCAUUUCGAUAACAAAUAAAAAAGUAAUACAGAAGGAAGGUUCUGAAAGGUAGAUAGGGAUUAAGUGCACGGA
rnacentral:lncRNA from 1 species